AAAUUUUCUUGAAGAGGCGGAGCUCCCAGGGCGAGACGAGGGCAUUGCACUGCGCUCGUGUUGACCCCUGCCACUACCCCAAACUGGGGCAGAUGGGGCAUGCAAUUUUUGGUAGUGGGGGACUGCGUUCGCGCUAUCCCCCU
rnacentral:snRNA from 1 species